UGGCCCAUAUCAUCUCAUAUCAUGGCUUCAAGGAUCAUUGCAUACCCUAGCUUCCCUCCUAGUGGGUGGGCUACCUUGUGAGUGUGAGUCUUGAUCACCAAGCAUGUAUUGCAUUUGUAUGUCAUUGCUUUUCAUAUGUUCACUAACCAAAGGUACAAAAAUAUUGUCAUCUAACCUUGUUUCUUGCAGCUGAAGCAAUCAUAGGUCAAAGCAGUUAAAUCAGGCAUUGAGCAAUAGAUGGUGGCCAUUCUUGAAGAAUUUGGACACCAUGAUCAUUCAUUGAGAGUUCAUAUAACUUGUGAUACCAUUUGGAAUCAAGAUCUCAUGUGAAAGAGACUUGGAAUUCAUCGGAACAUGGCCAAGUCAAUAAAAGUCAACUGUGGUCAACUGUGGAUUUAAUCAGUUAUUUGAUGAUUGGAAAUGGUUAAAAAUGUCUCAUUCAUGUCCAUAUAAACUUCAUUUGGUAUUUCAAAGACCAAGAUUGGAGGAAUUGAGCUCAGAUAGACAGUUUCCCAAAAUGGCAAAUGAACCUGUAAUUUCAGCUGCCCAAAAUGGAAAGUUUUUGACCUCAAAAACAGAAGUCCAAGGAAGCUUCAAAUGAAAAAUUGUUCAACAUGACAGAUGUAGAUCUUGUUCUCACCUUUCCAAAAAGUCCAAGAACUUGAAAAUCCAAUGUACAGUUUGCAAGAUAUGGUCAGAUGAAUUUCAAAAAGACCCGUAAUCAGGAGGGCAUAACUUCCACAUGGAUUGUCCAAAUUGCAAGUUCUUUAUAUGCACAAACUCCAUUUGACAUGUACUUCAAGGGUGCAUCAUUAGAUUUUUCCAAAAAUGGCCAAGGCAAAAAGUCACUUUUCAAUUGGACAACUGAAUUGGACCAGGGGCAAAAUCGUCCAAGUGUCAAAAUAUUUGGAAUUUUGGAAUGGGACCUUUUGUAACACCUCAGGAAUGACAUUUGGAGUGUGUUUGAAUCCUCAUUUCAUGGCUAGGCCUCAUAUUUUGAGUUUUGACUUGAAAAGUGGAAAUGCAAAAUUGGACUCUUUUCUACCACAUAGUGAAAUUCAAGAAUAGGCAUCCAAUUGAAAUGAAACUUGUUUCUAUACAUUGCAUAGGGUAUUUUGGACAUGUUGGAACCAAAUUUGAGCUGGUAUAUGGGCUGGUUUAGAGAAAGGCAAAAAGGAAUUGAGUGAAAUCGAGCAAGAAACUCCAACUGUUGAAGCACCUCCAUUGCCAUGACAGCUUGACGAAUCAACCGCUAGCAACAUAAUUGAGCUGAAGCAGCGAUCCUACUGCACUUCUUGAUGAACAAACUCGGACUGUUUCGCUGAAGCAAGGCUCGAAUCGCACGGUUCCGCCGGUACUGCACUCAAGAAGGUGAAAGAUUCGUUUAUCACCGUUUGUCAAAUUGAGUUAGGAAUUGUGUAGAACAUCUAUUGUAGAUUAGGCAUCAGCUUGUAGAAUUGAGAAUUGUUAGAGAUUGACCGAGAUAUUCGUAAUUUAAGUUUUGAAGCGUUUCUUUCUUU